rnacentral:rRNA from 1 species
UACGUAGGGGGCAAGCGUUUGUCCGGAAUCAUUGGGCGUAAAGAGCGUGUAGGCGGCUCGAUAAGUCUGCUGUGAAAGUCCAGGGCUCAACCCUGGAAGGCCGGUGGAAACUGUCGGGCUAGAGUCCGGAAGAGGCGAGUGGAAUUCCCGGUGUAGCGGUGAAAUGCGCAGAUAUCGGGAGGAACACCAAUGGCGAAGGCAGCUCGCUGGGACGGUACUGACGCUGAGACGCGAAAAGCGUGGGGGGAAGCAAAACAGGGGAUUAGAAAACCCCC